rnacentral:rRNA from 1 species
GCGAAGCGGUUUCGAUGAAGUUUUCGGAUGGAAUUGAAAUUGACUUAGCGGCGGACGGGUGAGUAACGCGUGGGUAACCUGCCUUACACUGGGGGAUAACAGUUAGAAAUGACUGCUAAUACCGCAUAAGCGCACAGGGCCGCAUGGUCUGGUGUGAAAAACUCCGGUGGUGUAAGAUGGACCCGCGUCUGAUUAGGUAGUUGGUGGGGUAACGGCCCACCAAGCCGACGAUCAGUAGCCGACCUGAGAGGGUGACCGGCCACAUUGGGACUGAGACACGGCCCAAACUCCUACGGGAGGCAGCAGUGGGGAAUAUUGGACAAUGGGCGAAAGCCUGAUCCAGCGACGCCGCGUGAGUGAAGAAGUAUUUCGGUAUGUAAAGCUCUAUCAGCAGGGAAGAAAAUGACGGUACCUGACUAAGAAGCCCCGGCUAACUACGUGCCAGCAGCCGCGGUAAUACGUAGGGGGCAAGCGUUAUCCGGAUUUACUGGGUGUAAAGGGAGCGUAGACGGUUAAGCAAGUCUGAAGUGAAAGCCCGGGGCUCAACCCCGGUACUGCUUUGGAAACUGUUUGACUUGAGUGCAGGAGAGGUAAGUGGAAUUCCUAGUGUAGCGGUGAAAUGCGUAGAUAUUAGGAGGAACACCAGUGGCGAAGGCGGCUUACUGGACUGUAACU